CAGGUCAUCUUUUUAAAACAGCCAUGCUUUUACCUAUUACCACACAUUGUGGAUUCUUUUAAACUUGUAAUCCUGAAGAAAAUAUACAUUUCUGCACAUCAGCAGGAUUGCGGCAGAUUUUAUAACUUCACCUGCAGCUUUUGUUUGCAUUACCUGCAGGUACCAUCUCGCUCACUCUAUGUUAAAAAAAAACACCUAUCUGCUGACUGUCUUGCAAUCCUUGCCAGCGAGGACUGAACUCAUAAAUUGAGCGGACAGUAGGAGUUUGGAAUCUGCAAAAACAGAACGUGUUCAAUACUUAACCGGCCCGUCAUGAGUUGGCUCCUGGACGGGGUGCAGAUGGGCUGGAUGUAGUAGUUCUCCAACUUAACCCCUUGUGCAGCAAGCCUGUCCAGGGUCGGGGUGUGGAUUUCCGAGCCGUGAUAGCCCACAUCGUGGAAGCCUUGGUCGUCGGCGAGGAUGAAGAUGAUGUGCGGUCUGGAGGCGCUCUGGCUGCCGGGAUCCUGCACACCGGGGGCUCGCAGUUCAGGUUCGAGCCAGUCCCAGGACAAGUAACCGAAGGCUGAAUUUCUGCCUGACAAAUUGAAGCUGAGACGUUCUCACCUGCAGUUAUUUUUUGGACUCUGAGAGGCAUCUGAACGUUUGAUUUCAGUUCAAUUUUGUUGGCUGCAAUAACAUACAUAGAUGACUGAAAAUGCAGACUUCCUGAUUCCAGUCCAGUGCCAGGACCAGUGCCACUCCCAAACUGCCUUCAGAGUUAAAUCCAUUCUAUAGCCUGUCCAUAUAAAUGUCCACCAAAAAUUGAAUGGACAACACUGAUUUAUAAUUGUCUGAUUUGUCACAAUUUCACUGCAAGCCCAAAUUACUUACAUUUCAUAACUAGAACACAGUCAUAGCGCCCAGGCAAGUCAGCGCAAUUUAUUUGAUACGUGGGCCUUCAUUUUCUUACAGCCGCCACCUCUGAUAAAUGAAUAGUUGUGGUCAACAUGGGAAACAAAAAUACACCUAAACGCUGAACACUGUCUUCUACUGAAAAGAAUGCUGCCUUUCUGUGCUCACACUCCUGUAUCUGGACUGCUUUUGUUGUAAGAAUUUGAAUUUCCCGAAAAUUUAUCUUCUUCACAUUACAUUCUUGUCAAAUUAGUUAAGCCUUGCUUCAGGAUGAAGAAGUGGCAUUGGAUUUCAUACAAAAUACAAUUUUCUGUUGUACAUUUCAGUAAUCAACAUUUCAUGCAUGAAUAUCUUUGACCAGCAUACUCGUUUUUGGUUUUAUCAGUUAUAAAUGUUGUUGUUAUUGUU